GGGAAUGACGGAUCCGCACCGAAGGGUGACAUAUCUGCGCCGGUGACAUGCAGAUCCGACCGGUGCAGGGCCGGCCGCCGCGGGCUGCCGGUGCGGGGCCAGCCACCGUGGGCUGCCGGCGCCAGCCACCAGGCUAGGGUUUGAGGGGGGCUCACGAGCAUGCAGAAAGAAUCCCUGACGUCCUUGUGGUUGUGCGGGCUUUCGGCA
rnacentral:lncRNA from 1 species